UUUGGACACCGUUCUUGUUGAGAUUCAUUGGCUCAUAUAUUUUCUUUUAUUGCUCUUUUGAGCAUGCUUUUUUGUUGCCAACCUUAGUACUUCUAGAUAAGUGCUUCAUGAUCUUUUUUUUUCUCUUUUUCUUUUCUUUGAAUUUUCUCAUCUUUUUGCACUUAUCUACAAUUCAUCGAUGUCCCCAACAUUUUAAUGAAACCCCAAACUUAGGCUUUUCCGCAGCUUCGGGGUAAACAAC
rnacentral:lncRNA from 1 species